rnacentral:misc_RNA from 1 species
GAUGAAGAACGUAGCGAAAUGCGAAAAGUAGUGUGAAUUGCAGAAUUCAGUGAAUCAUCGAAUCUUUGAACGCACAUUGCGCCCCUUGGUAUUCCAUGGGGCAUGCCUGUUCGAGCGUCAUUUGUACCUUCAAGCUCUGCUUGGUGUUGGGUGUUUGUCCCGCUUUUUGCGUGGACUCGCCUCAAAGCAAUUGGCAGCCGGCGUACUAGCCUGGGAGCGCAGCACAUUUUGCGCACCUCGACUGGAACGCUUGCGUCCAUUAAGCCUACACUUUUGCUCUUGACCUCGGAUCAGGUAGGGAUACCCGCUGAACUUAAGCAUAUCAAUAAGCGGAGGA